ACGGCGGCCAGAAGCGGACAAGAGAUUUCUACGGAGAGGAGGGAUGAGUUGGGUGACAUCUGAGACGCAGCGGCAGAUCCGCAGGCAGCCAGGCUCCGCAGCUACGGCGGCGGCCUGGGUGGUGUCGGUGCUGCCGGGGGCGGCUGAGAGGUACCGGUGGAGAGCCUCCCGAGCCGCGGCUGCCCUAGGUAGCGGGCUCCACUCAGGAUACCACAUUACAUUUACCUAUCAUGUCUUCUUAAGUUCUUCUUGGCUGUGACAGACUCUCAAAUUUUCCUUGAUUUUGAUGACCCUGACAGUUUUGAGGAGUGUUGGUCAGAUAUUUAUUAGGAUUUCCUUGUACUGGAAUCUGUCGGAUGUUUUUCUCAAGAUUAGACUGGGAUUAUGGGGGUUUUUUGAGAGGAAGACCACAGAGGGUGGUGUUGCUCUCUGCCUUAAUGUCAGUUGAUAUGGUGGAAGUCAUCAAAAAGUUCACGAGAGAUGAUUUCAAACUCUGGUGAAAAAGGAAGAAUUGACCAUUGAAAGGGUCAAUAUUUUGUAAUAAUUUUGGGAGAAGGGAAUCAAUUUGGGAGGAAAGCUGUGGCCUUAAACAUUGAAGGAGAUGAGAGGAUUCUUUGUGACACCAAGACCUGCAAACUACAGCUGUGACACUGAGGCCUUCUACAAACUGCAAUGGAGGAAAUGCCAGUGAAUGUGGCUGACCUUAUUUAAUUCCUGGGAUGAGAUAGUUUUGAAUGCAGUGCUCACUGUUGCUUGAAUAGGCAACAAAAAGUGCAUCGUGCUUCCUUCUUUGGGAAUAUUAGAAGCUUGUCUCAAUGCUCAUAACAGAUCAGAAAUAAAGAUUUUGAUAGUGAAGUGACUUUAGCUGUGAGCUAUUGUGAGGAAAAUAAAUCAUUGGCUUUAUCCUCUUUAGACUUUGAAUGUUGGGGUUUGGCUAUGAAAGAUGGGGUUGUAAAAAUCUUACUUAAAAAUUUAUUUCCUAGUUCUGUAAAAAUGGAUAUACUGAGUGUUCUCUUAUCAUUUAAUGAUAUACUUGUGGACUGAAAGAUAUGUACUGUAUAAAUGCAGCCAGUUAUAUUAAACUAGUGUAUCUGCUUUUAUUGUGCUAGCCAUUAGACUGAAUAGAACAAACUUUAAGAUGAUUUUUUUAAAGAAGAUAUUCGAAUUCAUUUUCUUUGGUGUUGUGUUUUUAUUCAGUAAAGCAUUUUAUUAGUGGUAAUUGUGAACUGGAGCCUUUUGCUAAGCACCAGCCACAGUCAUAUCCUAGGGUUAAAUACCAGAAAAAUUGCCAUAUUUUAUGUUGAAUGUUUAAUAAAUUACAAUAAAGUAUAUUUUUCUUUUAAA